AAGCGGGCUCCAUGCCGGGAGCCCGACGCGGGACUCGAUCCUGGGACCCCAGGAUCACGCCCUGGGCUGAAGGCGGGUGCUAACGGCUGAGCCACUGGGCUGCCCAAAAGUCCCAUUUUUGACGCCAUCUGCUAUCCACGUGCCUCUUCUACAAAAGAAAAGGCCACAGAAGAAAGACCAUGUGAUCGUGUGAUGAUAACGGGGAGAAGAUGCGCAUCUACAAGCUGAGAGGCCUCUGAGAAACCAUCCUGCGGACACCUUGACCUCAGAUUUCCAGCCCCCGGAACUGAGGGGAAGUGCACCCUGUGGCGACAGCAGUUGGCAGCUAAUACGCUGCAAUCUGCCGAGCUUUUAAGAUAGGUGCGUUUUCAGUAUAAUCAAGUCCCUACUGGAGACGCGCGACGUCGCCGAUCUGGAGCUGUUACCAGGAAAGAAACAUGAGAGAGUCCUCGCAGUCCGGCGGGGGCAAGCGCCUGCCUGGGCUCAGGCCCUGAUCCCGGGGUCCUGGGAUGGGCCCCGACAGGGCGACCCGCUCGUCCCGCUUCCCCUGCUCAUGCUCACUUGCUCUCUCUCUCUCUCUCUCUCUCUAAGAAAUAAAAUGUUAACAAAAGGGCCCCCGCCGGGGUGAGUGUGCGCUAAGGCCGGAGAAAACACUGAUGUGGACGGAGAGCGGCGACGGAAACCGCCAGGAGGAUAGCAGGUGCUCGCUGGGCGAGGAUGGCCCGGAGGUGACCCGGGUGGGGGGGCCGGCAGCCUGGGUGAGCGGCCCGGGUGGGCCCCCCAGGAGGCCUGCGUGCCCAGCCACACUGUCCGCCCGGCAGGGAGUCACGGAGAACGGAUUUAAAGGACGUGGAGAUGGAAAUCGGGGCCAAGUGUGCGCAGGC